rnacentral:rRNA from 1 species
AUUGAACGCUGGCGGCAUGCCUUACACAUGCAAGUCGAACGGCAGCACGGGAGCAAUCCUGGUGGCGAGUGGCGAACGGGUGAGUAAAGUAUCGGAACGUGCCCAGUCGUGGGGGAUAACGUAGCGAAAGUUACGCUAAUACCGCAUACGAUCUAUGGAUGAAAGCGGGGGAUCGCAAGACCUCGCGCGAUUGGAGCGGCCGAUAUCAGAAUAGGUAGUUGGUGGGGUAAAGGCUCACCAAGCCGACGAUCUGUAGCUGGUCUGAGAGGACGACCAGCCACACUGGGACUGAGACACGGCCCAGACUCCUACGGGAGGCAGCAGUGGGGAAUUUUGGACAAUGGGCGCAAGCCUGAUCCAGCCAUGCCGCGUGCAGGAUGAAGGCCUCCGGGUUGUAAACUGCUUUUGUACGGAACGAAAAGGUUUGGGCUAAUAAGCUGAGCUCAUGACGGUACCGUAAGAAUAAGCACCGGCUAACUACGUGCCAGCAGCCGCCGUAA